rnacentral:lncRNA from 1 species
GUCACACCAGCAUAUCUCCUCCCUCAUUUAGUUGGUUUGUGAAGGCAAUUGGAUUAGAGUUUAUCCCACUUUCUUGCGGCAUCUGGCAUGCAUGCAAAGUUGAGGGUCUGCACAUCCAGGCCUCCAUGAAGGUUUAAUUUAGAUAAAUUUAAUCUCUAAUUUUACUGCUAAUCAAAUAAAAAUUUGAUCUUUAAUCAUGUAUAUGAAUAAAAAAAUUUUUAGAUACAACCUAAGCCUUCCUAGGAGAAAUAGUUUCUUUCCCUUU